GACGAACGCUGGCGGCGUGCUUAACACAUGCAAGUCGAACGAUGUGGCGAACGGGUGGGUAACUCGUAAUCAACCUGCCCUUCUGACGGGGACAACAGUUGGAAACGCCUGCUAAUACCUCAUACUGUAGGAGGGGCUUGCGUCUGCUUAGCUAGUUGGAGGGGUAACGGUCCACCAAGGCGAUGUUCAGUCGACGGUCUGAGAGGAUGAACGGACCCAAUUGGAAGGAGAAAAGGCCCAGAAUACUACGGGAGGGAGCAGGGGGGAAUCUUCCGCAAUGGAAGAAAGUCUGAAGGAGAAACGCCGCGUGAGUGAUGACGGCCUUAGGGAUGUAAAGCGCUGUUAAUCGGGGCGCGGUACCGAAAUAGAAAGCCACGGCUAACUACGUGCCAGCAGCCGCGGUAAUUC
rnacentral:rRNA from 1 species